CUACGGAGGGGGCUAGCGUUGUUCGGAAUUACUGGGCGUAAAGCGCGCGUAGGCGGACCAGUCAGUCAGGGGUGAAAUCCCGGGGCUCAACCCCGGAACUGCCUUUGAUACUGCUGGUCUUGAGUUCGAGAGAGGUGAGUGGAAUUCCGAGUGUAGAGGUGAAAUUCGUAGAUAUUCGGAGGAACACCAGUGGCGAAGGCGGCUCACUGGCUCAAUACUGACGCUGAGGUGCGAAAGCGUGGGGAGCAAACAGGAUUAGAAACCCUAGUAGUCC
rnacentral:rRNA from 1 species